rnacentral:rRNA from 1 species
UGCAGUCGAGCGGAGUGAUAGUGCUUGCACUAUCACUUAGCGGCGGACGGGUGAGUAAUGCUUAGGAAUCUGCCUAUUAGUGGGGGACAACAUUUCGAAAGGAAUGCUAAUACCGCAUACGUCCUACGGGAGAAAGCAGGGGAUCUUCGGACCUUGCGCUAAUAGAUGAGCCUAAGUCGGAUUAGCUAGUUGGUGGGGUAAAGGCCUACCAAGGCGACGAUCUGUAGCGGGUCUGAGAGGAUGAUCCGCCACACUGGGACUGAGACACGGCCCAGACUCCUACGGGAGGCAGCAGUGGGGAAUAUUGGACAAUGGGCGCAAGCCUGAUCCAGCCAUGCCGCGUGUGUGAAGAAGGCCUUAUGGUUGUAAAGCACUUUAAGCGAGGAGGAGGCUACUUUAGUUAAUACCUAGAGAUAGUGGACGUUACUCGCAGAAUAAGCACCGGCUAACUCUGUGCCAGCAGCCGCGGUAAUACAGAGGGUGCAAGCGUUAAUCGGAUUUACUGGGCGUAAAGCGCGCGUAGGCGGCUAAUUAAGUCAAAUGUGAAAUCCCCGAGCUUAACUUGGGAAUUGCAUUCGAUACUGGUUAGCUAGAGUGUGGGAGAGGAUGGUAGAAUUCCAGGUGUAGCGGUGAAAUGCGUAGAGAUCUGGAGGAAUACCGAUGGCGAAGGCAGCCAUCUGGCCUAACACUGACGCUGAGGUGCGAAAGCAUGGGGAGCAAACAGGAUUAGAUACCCUGGUAGUCCAUGCCGUAAACGAUGUCUACUAGCCGUUGGGGCCUUUGAGGCUUUAGUGGCGCAGCUAACGCGAUAAGUAGACCGCCUGGGGAGUACGGUCGCAAGACUAAAACUCAAAUGAAUUGACGGGGGCCCGCACAAGCGGUGGAGCAUGUGGUUUAAUUCGAUGCAACGCGAAGAACCUUACCUGGCCUUGACAUAGUAAGAACUUUCCAGAGAUGGAUUGGUGCCUUCGGGAACUUACAUACAGGUGCUGCAUGGCUGUCGUCAGCUCGUGUCGUGAGAUGUUGGGUUAAGUCCCGCAACGAGCGCAACCCUUUUCCUUAUUUGCCAGCGAGUAAUGUCGGGAACUUUAAGGAUACUGCCAGUGACAAACUGGAGGAAGGCGGGGACGACGUCA